AUACCGGCGGCUCGAGUGGUGGCCACUUUUAUUGGGCUUAAAGCGUUCGUAGCUGGGUUGUUAAGUCUCUUGGGAAAUCUGGCAGCUUAACUGUCAGGCGUCUAAGAGAUACUGGCAAUCUAGGAACCGGGAGAGGUGAGGGGUACUUCGGGGGUAGGAGUGAAAUCCUGUAAUCCUCGAGGGACCACCUGUGGCGAAGGCGCCUCACCAGAACGGCUUCGACAGUGAGGGACGAAAGCUGGGGGAGCAAACCGGAUUAGAUACCCGGGUAGGCCCAGCCGUAAACGAUGCGCGUUAGGUGUGUCGAUGACCACGAGUCAUCGAGGUGCCGAAGGGAAACCGUGAAGCGAGCCACCUGGGAAGUACGGCCGCAAGGCUGAA
rnacentral:rRNA from 1 species